rnacentral:rRNA from 1 species
ACGAACGCUGGCGGCGUGCCUAAUACAUGCAAGUCGAGCGGACGGAGAGAGCUUGCUCUCGAAAGUCAGCGGCGGACGGGGUGAGUAACACGUGGGUAACCUGCCUGACAGUCUGGGGAUAACGCUUGGAAACGAGUGCUAAUACCGGAUAAUCUCUUGGAUCGCAUGAUCCGAAAGUGAAAGAAGCUCUUGCUUCACUGUCAGAUGGACCCGCGGGCGCAUUAGCUAGUUGGUGAGGUAACGGCUCACCAAGGCGACGAUGCGUAGCCGACCUGAGAGGGUGACCGGCCACACUGGGACUGAGACACGGCCCCAGACUCCUACGGGAGGCAGCAGUAGGGAAAUCUUCCGCAAUGGGCGCAAGCCUGACGGAGCAACGCCGCCGCGUGAGUGAUGAAGGCCUUCGGGUUGUAAAACUCUGUCAUUCUGUGACGAACAAGCCUGUGAUUAAAAUACUCAGGCCCUGACGGGUAACAGAGGAGGGAAGCCCCGGCUAACUACGUGCCAGCAGCCGCGGGUAAUACGUAGGGGGCAAAGCGUUGUCCGGAAUCACUGGGCGUAAAGCGCGCGCGCAGGCGGUCAUCUACGUCUGGGGUGAAAGCCCGGAGCUCAACUCCGGGACUGCCUUGGAUACGGGAUGACUUGAGGAUCGGAAGAGGCAAGGGGAAUUCCACGUGUAGCGGUGAAAUGCGUAGAGAUGUGGAGGAACACCUGUGGCGAAGGCGCCUUGCUGGGCCGAUUUUCUGACGCUGAGGCGCGAAAAAGCGUGGGGGAGCAAACAGGAUUAGAUACCCUGGUAGUCCACGCCGGUAAAACGAUGAGUGCUAGGUGUUGGGGGGUUCCACCCCUCAGUGCCGAAGCUAACGCAUUAAUUAAGCACUCCGCCUGGGGAGUACGGUCGCAAGACUGAAACUCAAAGGAAUUGACGGGGGGCCCGCACAAGCAGUGGAGCAUGUGGUUUAAUUCGAAGCAACGCGAAGAACCUUACCAAGGACUUGACAUCCCCGCUGACCUCUCUAGAGAUAGAGAUUCCCUUCGGGGCAGCGGUGACAGGUGGUGCAUGGUUGUCGUCAGCUCGUGUCGUGAGAUGUUGGGUUUAAGUUCCCGCAACGAGCGCAACCCCUAUGUUUGUGUUGCCAUCAUUUAGUUGGGCACUUACAACAGACUGCCGGUGACAAACCGGAGGAAGGCGGGGAUGACGUCAAAAUCAUCAUGCCCCUUAUGUCUUGGGCUACACACGUGCUACAAUGGGCGGUACAAAGAGAUGCGAGACCGCGAGGUGGGAGCUAAUCUCAUAAAGCCGUUCGUAGUUCGGAUUGCAGGCUGCAACUCGCCUGCAUGAAGCCGGAAUUGCUAGUAAUCGCGGAUCAGCAUGCCGCGGUGAAUUCGUUCCCGGGCCUUGUACACACACCGCCCGUCACACCAUGGGAGUUGGCAACACCCGAAGUCGGUGAGGUAACUGCUUGCAGAGCCAGCCGCCUAAGGUGGGGUCGAUGACUGGGGUG